GACGAACGCUGGCGGCGUGCUUAACACAUGCCAGUCGAACGGAAAGGCCUGCUUUCCCUUGUGGAUUGCGGGUACUCGAGUGGCGAACGGGUGAGUAACACGUGAGUGAUCUGCCCCCAACUUGGGUAUAAGCCUGGGAAACUGGGUCUAAUUCCCGAUAGGACUGCAGGGUGGUGCCUGUGGUGGAAAACGAUUUUCUAGUGGUUGGGGAUGAGCUCGCGGCCUAUCAGCUUGUUGGUGGGGUAAUGGCCUACCAAGGCGGCGACGGGUAGCCGGCCUGGGAGGGUGGACGGCCACAUUGGGACGGAGAUACGGCCCAGACUCCUACGGGAGGCAGCAGUGGGGAAUAUUGCACAAUGGGCGGAAGCCUGAUGCAGCGACGCCGCGUGGGGGAUGACGGCCUUCGGGUUGUAAACUCCUUUCGACCGCGAGGAAGCCACCUGGUUGGAAGGGUGGUGACGGUAGUGGUAGAAGAAGCACCGGCUAACUACGUG
rnacentral:rRNA from 1 species